rnacentral:rRNA from 1 species
UACGUAGGGGACUAGCGUUGUUCGGAAUUACUGGGCGUAAAGCGCACGUAGGCGGAUUUGUAAGUCAGGGGUGAAAUCCCGGGGCUCAACCUCGGAACUGCCUUUGAUACUGCAAAUCUCGAGUUCGGAAGAGGGUCGUGGAAUUCCCAGUGUAGAGGUGAAAUUCGUAGAUAUUGGGAAGAACACCGGUGACGAAGGCGGCGACCUGGUCCGACACUGACGCUGAGGCGCGAAAGCGUGGGGAGCAAACAGG